rnacentral:tRNA from 1 species
GCCUGAGUGAUGGAACUGGUAGACGUGAUGGAUUCAAAAUCCAUUGCCCGCAAGGGCGUGCCGGUUCGACUCCGGCCUCAGGUACCA